GCGGGUGUGGUGAAAUUGGUAGACGCGCCGGACUCAAAAUCCGGUUCCGCGAGGAGUGUCGGUUCGAGUCCGACCACCCGCACCA
rnacentral:tRNA from 1 species